GACAGAGGGUGCAAACGUUGUUCGGAAUUACUGGGCGUAAAGCGCGUGUAGGCGGCCCUGCAAGUCGGAUGUGAAAUCCCACGGCUCAACCGUGGAAGUGCAUUCGAAACUGCAGGGCUAGAGUCCUGGAGAGGAAGGUGGAAUGCUUGGUGUAGAGGUGAAAUUCGUAGAAUAUCAAGCGGAACACCGGUGGCGAAGGCGGCCUUCUGGACAGUGACUGACGCUGAGGCACGAAAGCGUGGGGAGCAAACAGGG
rnacentral:rRNA from 1 species